GACCAGACUCCUACGGGAGGCAGCAGUGGGGAAUAUUGCACAAUGGGGGAAACCCUGAUGCAGCGACGCCGCGUGAGUGAAGAAGUAUUUCGGUAUGUAAAGCUCUAUCAGCAGGGAAGAAAAUGACGGUACCUGACUAAGAAGCCCCGGCUAACUACGUGCCAGCAGCCGCGGUAAUACGUAGGGGGCAAGCGUUAUCCGGAUUCACUGGGUGUAAAGGGAGCGUAGACGGCCAUGCAAGCCUGGAGUGAAAGCCCGGGGCCCAACCCCGGGACUGCUCUGGGAACUGUGCGGCUGGAGUGCGGGAGGGGCAGGCGGAAUUCCUGGUGUAGCGGUGAAAUGCGUAGAUAUCAGGAGGAACACCGGCGGCGAAGGCGGCCUGCUGGACCGCGACUGACGUUGAGGCUCGAAAGCGUGGGGAGCAAACAGGAUUAGAUACCCGUGUA
rnacentral:rRNA from 1 species